GCCCUGGUGUAGUGGUUUGAAUGUUGGACUAUGACUCUGGAGACCAGGGUUCGAUUCCCAGCAUGACC
rnacentral:tRNA from 1 species